UACACGCUGUGACUAGCAUAUCAAUAAGCGGAGGAAAAGAAACUAACAAGGAUUCCCCUAGUAACGGCGAGUGAAGCGGGAAGAGCUCAAAUUUGAAAUCUUAAAGGGUUUCCCUUUACGAAUUGUAGUUUAAAGAAGUGUUUUCUGUUGAGGUUUUGGUAAAAGUUCUUUGGAAUAGGACAUCAUAGAGGGUGAGAAUCCCGUAUUUGACCUUUACUUUCAACUUUGUGAUACACUUUCAAAGAGUCGGAUUGUUUGGGAAUGCAGUCCAAAAUGGGUGGUAAAUUUCAUCUAAAGCUAAAUAUUGGCGAGAGACCGAUAGCGAACAAGUACCAUGAGGGAAAGAUGAAAAGAACUUUGAAAAGAGAGUUAAACAGUACGUGAAAUUGUCAAAAGGGAAGCGUUUGACACCAGUGUUGUUUUUCCGAAAAUCAAUUAAAGAACUGUUUAUGCUAAGUUGUUUAGACUUUAUCAGCUAACUGUUUAGUUUUGAGCUUUUCUUUAAUGCACUUUUCAGUUAGCAAGUCAACAUCAAUUUCUUUUGCUGUAAAAAAGCUUGAGGAAGGUGGCUUGAGAUUCGUCUUAAGUGUUUAUAGCCUCUUGCCUAUGCAGUCGGAGAGAUUGAGGUCUGCAGCGUAGAUCCUUCGGGGCUAAAUGCAUUUGUGCUAAGUUAUAGCAUUUUAUAGACAACUUGUUGACUAUGAUUUGUCUUGUAGCUUACUCGCUUAUGUUAUUUUACCUACGCUUAGGAUGUUGAAGUCAUCGUAUCGCGC
rnacentral:rRNA from 1 species